UACAGAGGGGGCAAGCGUUGCUCGGAAUUACUGGGCGUAAAGGGCGCGUAGGCGGUCAGGCAAGUCGGGUGUGAAAGCCCUGGGCUCAACCUGGGAAUUGCAUUCGAAACUAUCUGACUCGAGUAUGGGAGAGGGAAGCGGAAUUUCCGGUGUAGCGGUGAAAUGCGUAGAUAUCGGAAGGAACACCAGUGGCGAAGGCGGCUUCCUGGACCAAUACUGACGCUGAGGUGCGAAAGCGUGGGGAGCAAACAGG
rnacentral:rRNA from 1 species